rnacentral:rRNA from 1 species
AGCGAACGCUGGCGGCAGGCUUAACACAUGCAAGUCGAGCGGGCGUAGCAAUACGUCAGCGGCAGACGGGUGAGUAACGCGUGGGAACAUACCUUUUGGUUCGGAACAACACAGGGAAACUUGUGCUAAUACCGGAUAAGCCCUUACGGGGAAAGAUUUAUCGCCGAAAGAUUGGCCCGCGUCUGAUUAGCUAGUUGGUGAGGUAAUGGCUCACCAAGGCGACGAUCAGUAGCUGGUCUGAGAGGGUGACCGGCCACACUGGGACUGAGACACGGCCCAGACUCCUACGGGAGGCAGCAGUGGGGAAUAUUGCACAAUGGGCGAAAGCCUGAUGCAGCGACGCCGCGUGAGGGAUGACGGCCCUCGGGUUGUAAACCUCUUUCGCCAGGGACGAAGCGCAAGUGACGGUACCUGGAUAAGAAGCACC